rnacentral:tRNA from 2 species
CAAGGAGUAGUUUAAGUAGAAUUUCAGCUUUGGGUGCUGACGGUAGAGCUUAUGCUCUUUCCUUGA